AAUUCUCUAAAUUUUCUGAUUUUCCCUGUUAAAUCCACCUGAUACACAUUAAUUUAGUAAUUUACCUAAUCCCAUUAUUUCUCUAAGUUGUAAACUAAUAGAGAAAAUAUAACGGGAUCCGUGUAGAUACGCCGCCCGUACAGUGUAUAAGAAAUCGAGAGGUUGACGGGAUCCGUGACUCCGUGUAGAUACGCCGUUACUUUAGAGGCAUGUACAUUGUAUAAGAAAUCGAGAGGUUGAUCAGACUCCGGCGAUUUUGUCAUCAAUGUCGUCCUCGCCGGAAAAGAAGAGGAAGAUAGGGACUACUACGCCGCAAUCGCAGUAGGAAGAUAGUGUUGUACCCAUCUCGUUUGUCUUCUACUAUCAUAUUGUUUAAUAUAAU
rnacentral:sRNA from 1 species